GGAGUCUGGGCCGUGUCUCAGUCCCAAUGUGGCCGUCCGCCCUCUCAGGCCGGCUACCGAUCGCCGCCUUGGUGGGCCGUUACCCCGCCAACUGGCUAAUCGGACGCGGGCCCAUCCCGUACCACCGGAGUUUUUCACACCGGGGCAUGCGCCCCUCGUGCGCUCAUGCGGUAUUAGCAGGGG
rnacentral:rRNA from 1 species